AACGAACGCUGGCGGCAGGCCUAAAACAUGCAAGUCGAACGGCAGCACGGGUGCUUGCACCUGGUGGCGAGUGGCGAACGGGUGAGUAAUAUAUCGGAACGUACCUUAUUGUGGGGGAUAACGCAGCGAAAGCUGUGCUAAUACCGCAUAAUCCCUUAGGGGGAAAGCGGGGGACCGUAAGGCCUCGCGCAAUUAGAGCGGCCGAUACCUGAUUAGCUAGUUGGUGAGGUAAAGGCUCACCAAGGCAACGAUCAGUAGCUGGUCUGAGAGGACGAUCAGCCACACUGGGACUGAGACACGGCCCAGACUCCUACGGGAGGCAGCAGUGGGGAAUUUUGGACAAUGGGGGCAACCCUGAUCCAGCCAUGCCGCGUGAGUGAAGAAGGCCUCGGUUGUAAAGCUCUUUCGGCCGGGAAAAAAUCGCAUCAGUUAAUACCUGGUGUGGAUGACGGUACCAGCACAAGAAGCACCGGCUAACUACGUG
rnacentral:rRNA from 1 species